rnacentral:rRNA from 1 species
UACAGAGGGUGCGAGCGUUAAUCGGAAUUACUGGGCGUAAAGCGUGCGUAGACGGUAGCGUAAGUCGGGUGUGAAAGCCCCGGGCUCAACCUGGGAAUUGCAUUCGAGACUGCUCUGCUAGGGUGCGGGAGAGGGGAGCGGAAUUUCCGGUGUAGCGGUGAAAUGCGUAGAUAUCGGAAGGAACACCAGUGGCGAAAGCGGCUCCCUGGUCCAGCACCGACGUUCAGGCACGAAAGCGUGGGGAGCAAACAGG